CAGUCGUACCGACGGAAAAUCAGCUUUUUGAGUGCGGACUUGUGGGUUUACGUGAGCUUUACGGCCUCGUUGUUUGCAAUGUUCGUUCUUUUUGGGUGUACUUUUUCGUAUGGUUGGCCAAUAUCAGUUUCGAUCGCUAUAAAAUGACCGGCGGAAUGUAGCUUCGAUCUCGUAUUGAAGUGUUAUAGCCUUCGGUAGAUGUGAUGAUCGAGAUUGAGGAUUGCAACGAAUACCUUUUUGGGCUAUCCGUCUGAUCUCUGAAAGUUGCUUAGGUGCCGAAAGCAUGCUUACGGUUAUCAAAGUCGAUGGUCAAUAGGUUAGAAUGGGUUAAA
rnacentral:rRNA from 1 species